AUGGCGGGCUGGAUGAGGCUGCGCCCUAAAGCGCCUGCCGCUGCCCGCACCCCGGCCUCGCGCCCCUGCCGCCCUUUGUGGACGCCGACUCGGCCGGUGCGGUCGGAUGCACCGCAGUAGCCCCGGGCCCGGGCUUGGAAGCUCCCGGCGGAGAGGAAGCGGUCCGCCCGCCCGGGCCGGGACCCCGCGCAAGGCGACGGCCGGCCGAGAGGUUGCGUAGGCCCCGCCCGGCCAGGCCCAGCCGAGCCCUGGACAGAGACAGGGCAGGGCAUUGUUCAUGCACUGACCGAUCUCAGCAGCCCCGGCAUGACCUCAGAGAAUGGAAACUCUGCCUCCAGCAUCACCGGCACUCUUUCGUCCCUGCUGUGGGGGAAUCUCAAGAAGAAGUACGCACAGAGGUUCUUGCCUGAGAAACUUCCGCCUCAGGACCAUACCACCACCACUGACUCAGGGAGGGAGGAGCCCUAUCUGCAAGAAUCCAAAGAGAAGGGUACUCCCCUCAAACUCAAGUGUGAGCUCUGUGGCCGUGUGGACUUCGCCUACAAGUUCAAGCGUUACAAGCGCUUCUGUUCCAUGGCUUGUGCAAAAAGGUACAACGUGGGGUGCAGCAAAUGAGUGGAGCUUUUCCACUCAGACCAGAGCAAGCUGCAGAAGGCAGGAGCCACGAUCCACAACCGCAGUCGGGCCAGCAAAGCCAGUCUGCCGACACUUACCAUGGAUACCAAGAAGCAGCCAACAGGCACCGUACCCCUUUCAGUUACUGCUGCCCUGCAGCUAACACACAGCCAGGAAGACUCCAGCUGUUGCUCAGAUAACUCAAGCUAUGAGGACCCCUUGUCCCCCAUCUCAGCCAUCUUGUCCACCUCCCGCUGGCGACAAGGCCCACGGGACCUGGAGCUCCCUGACACGCACAUGCAGGACCUGGUGGGCAUGGGACACUACUUCCUGCCAAGUGAGCCCACCAAGUGGAACGUGGACGAUGUCUACGAAUUCAUCCGCUCUCUGCCAGGCUGCCAGGAAAUCGCAGAAGAGUUCCGUGCCCAGGAGAUUGACGGGCAAGCUCUGCUGCUGCUCAAGGAGGACCACCUGAUGAGUGCCACGAACAUCAAGCUGGGGCCCGCCCUCAAGAUCUACGCACGUAUCAGCAUGCUCAAGGACUCCUAGGGGUGGCCGGGCGCCAGGGCUCCUCCUCCUGACCGAGCAGAGCCGGCGGACACUCCUGGGGGCCCAGAGCAGGGCCGGUCAAGGGAAGGGCCCCCGCUGUGGGGCAUGGCUGGGGAGGAGGUCUCAGGACCUCCUUGGUGGCUCUCAGGGGCCUUUCUUUCUGUGGGAGGGGCAGAGAGGUAGGUGGCACAGAAGAUGGGGCUUUAUGCUUGUAAAUAUUGAUAGCACUGGCUUCCUCCAAAGUCCCACAACUCUAGCCCCGCUUCUCUUCCCCUCUUUCUGUCCCCCAUUUUCCAGGGGGUAUGUGGUCAGGGCUCCCAGCCUGAGUUGGGUCACUUCCCAGGGCAGCCAU